rnacentral:rRNA from 1 species
AUGAUGGCGAGGCGGGUCUUGGUUGCCAUUGCGGUUCUUGCGGCGGCGGCGGCGGCGCUGUUUGUUGCGGCGGAGGCCCAGCAGGCGGCGGCGCAGCAGGGCCACCAGACAGAGAGGAUCUCAGGGAGUGCUGGUGAUGUGCUGGACGAUGACCCUGUUGGGAGGCUCAAGGUGUUUAUCUAUGACCUCCCCGGAAAAUACAACAAGAAGCUGCUGAAGAAAGACCCAAGGUGCCUGAACCACAUGUUCGCCGCAGAGAUCUUCAUGCACCGGUUCCUGCUGUCGAGCGCGGUUCGGACUACUAAUCCCGAGGAAGCGGAUUGGUUCUACACACCCGUGUACCCGACAUGCGACCUCACCCCGUCGGGUCUCCCCUUGCCCUUCAAGUCUCCGCGGAUGAUGCGCAGCGCGAUCGAGCUGAUCGCGACGAAAUGGCCUUACUGGAAUAGAUCGGAGGGGGCAGAUCAUUUCUUUGUCACACCACAUGACUUUGGCGCUUGCUUCCAUUAUCAGGAAGAGAAAGCAAUUGGACGUGGAAUCCUUCCCUUGCUUCAGCGUGCCGUACUGGUUCAGACCUUUGGACAAAAGAACCAUGUCUGCUUGAAGGAAGGCUCCAUCACAAUUCCGCCAUUUGCGCCUCCACAGAAAAUGCAAAAUCACCUUAUUCCCGGAGAGACCCCUCGAUCCAUCUUCGUAUACUUCCGUGGUCUGUUCUAUGACACCGGCAAUGAUCCCGAGGGUGGAUACUACGCGAGAGGUGCUCGUGCAUCUGUCUGGGAGAACUUCAAGAACAACCCGCUGUUCGACAUCUCAACCGAUCACCCACCGACAUACUAUGAAGAUAUGCAGAGGUCUGUGUUCUGCCUGUGCCCAUUGGGCUGGGCUCCAUGGAGCCCCAGGCUGGUGGAAGCCGUGGUUUUCGGCUGCAUCCCGGUGAUCAUCGCAGACGACAUCGUCCUGCCAUUCGCGGACGCCAUCCCAUGGGAGGAGAUCGGCGUGUUUGUUCCCGAGGAGGAUGUCCCGAGGCUGGACAGCAUCCUGACAUCCAUUCCGACAGAGGACAUACUGAGGAAGCAAAGGCUUCUCGCAAACCCUUCGAUGAAGCAAGCUAUGCUGUUCCCCCAGCCAGCUCAAGCAGGAGAUGCAUUCCAUCAGAUACUGAACGGGCUUGCUCGCAAGCUUCCGCAUGGCGAAAGUGUCUUCUUGAAGCCCGGUCAGGCCCGUCUGAACUGGACUGCCGGCCCGGUGGGUGACCUCAAGCCUUGGUAG